AGUUGGCAGUGGAAGCUGGCAAAGGGUCAAUGCCCAGGUUGCAGUGAGAUCUCCUCGCUAUGCAGUGUUUGAUCUUGCGGAAGGAAAAUCAUAUGUUUUCCGAGUCUUGUCAGCAAACAAGCAUGGCAUUAGUGAGCCUUCUGAAAUAACACUACCAAUUCAAGCACAAGAGACCAUUGGUGUCCCAUCUGCUCCUGGUCGUGUACUGGCAACAAGAAAUACAAAAACAUCGGUUGUGGUACAGUGGGACAAGCCAAAACAUGAAGAAGAUCUGUUUGGCUACUAUAUUGAUACUUCUGUGGCGGGAACAAACCACUGGGAACCUUGCAAUCACAAACCUAUUAAAUAUAAUAGGUUUGUGGUUCAUGGUCUGACAACUGGAGAGAAUUAUAUCUUCCGUGUAAAAGCUGUGAAUGCUGUGGGAGUCAGCGAAAAUUCUCAAGAAUCUGAAGCUAUAACAGUACAGGCAG